rnacentral:rRNA from 1 species
GAGUUUGAUCUUGGCUCAGAACAAACGCUGGCGGCGUGCCUAAUACAUGCAAGUCGAACGAGGAAUUACCUUCGGGUAUAGUACUAGUGGCGCACGGGAGAGGAACACGUAGGUAAUCUGCCCUAGGGCGGGGAACAACCAGUCGAAAGAUUGGCUAAUACCCCGUAAGACCACACUAACUAAUGUUAAUGUGGUAAAAGAUUUAUCACCCUAGGAUGAGCCUGCGCCCCAUUAGCUUGAUGGUAGGGUAACGGCCUACCAUGGCUACGAUGGGUAACUGGUCUGAGAGGAUGAUCAGUCUCACUGGAACUGAGACACGGUCCAGACUCCUACGGGAGGCAGCAGUGAGGAAUUUUGCGCAAUGGGCGAAAGCCUGAUGCAGCGACGCCGCGUGAGUGAUGAAGGUCUUAGGAUUGUAAAGCUCUGUUCUCAAGGAAUAAAAAAAUGAAGGUGCUUGAGAAGAAAGGACCGGCUAACUUCGUGCCAGCAGCCGCGGUAAUACGGGGGGUGCAAGCGUUAUUCGGAAUCAUUGGGCGUAAAGCGGGUGUAGGUGGUCACAUCAGUCAGAAGUGAAAGCCCAGGGCUCAACCUUGGAAGUGCUUUUGAUACUGUAUGACUUGAGUGUAAGAGAGGUUGCUAGAAUUCCUGGUGUAGUGGUGAAAUACGUAGAGAUCAGGAGGAAUAUCGGUGGCGAAGGCGACUUUCUGGCUGAAUACUGACGCUGAGGCGCGAAAGCGUGGGGAGUAAACAGGAUUAGAUACCCUGGUAGUCCACGCUGUAAACGAUGAUCACUUGGUGUUGGAGGUAUUGACCCCUUCAGUGCCGUAGCUAACGCGUUAAGUGAUCCGCCUGGGAAGUACGGUCGCAAGAUUAAAACUCAAAGAAAUUGACGGUGGCCCGCACAAGCGGUGGAGUAUGUGGUUUAAUUCGAUGCAACGCGAAGAACCUUACCUGGUCUUGACAUCCCGAAAAAGCCCUAGAAAUAGGGAAGUGCUCUCUUUGAGAGAAUUUGGUGACAGGUGCUGCAUGUCAGCUCGUGCCGUGAGGUGUCGGGUUAAGUCCCAUAACGAGCGCAACCCCUAUUGUUAGUUGUCAGCAUUAAGUUGGGCACUCUAAUGGGACUGCCGGUGUCAAACCGGAGGAAGGCGGGGAUGACGUCAAGUCCUCAUGGCCUUUAUGACCAGGGCUACACACGUACUACAAUGGCCGGUACAACGGGCAGCCACUUCGCGAGAAGGAGCAAAUCCCUAAAAGCCGGUCUCAGUCCGGAUUGGAGUCUGCAACUCGACUCCAUGAAGUUGGAAUCGCUAGUAAUCGUGGAUCAGCAUGCCGCGGUGAAUAUGUUCCCGGGCCUUGUACACACCGCCCGUCACACCACGGGAGUUGGUUGUACCAGAAGCGGUUGAGAUAACCUUCGGGAGGCAGGCAGAAAAUAAAUUCGAUGAUUGGGGUGAAGUCGUAACAAGGUAGCCGUA